AGUACACCGUGUGCGGGAAAAACAGAUCCUUGCUGACAAAGAGGAAACCACAUCGCUUCUUUUGAAACGCGCCACACACUUGACCUCUACAAUGCUUUAUAGUGCAACUGAACCACGAGAUAAUCUGGCUGCGGCUCGCUCGGGCUCUGGGCCGAACUUUUCGAAUGGAUCUUGCUGAUUUCCUCGAGGGCACUGGCCAGCGAGUCCAGGUCUCCAGAGGCCUGGUGCUGAGCCUCCCACAGGCUGAGGAUGACCCCAGAUGGGCUGUGCUGCUGUGCAAAAUAUGAAAGGUUCCUGAGGAAGAGAAUACAAUCACAACAGUGUGAUUAAUGUGAUAAAUGUGACACCAACAACUAGAUGUUAUAUUGUGAUGUUGUAUGAUUAAGAAUAACUACAGCAAGUGUUUUUUUGUGUAGAAACAAGAAAUUGUUCAUUUAAAUUACAGCUGAAAUGACUCAAGAAAUCAAGAAACAAGCAACACUGAUAUAAUACUAUUGUAUAUUGUAUACAGAGUUGUGUAAAAUGUUGUCAUUUCUGGCUCCAACCCUCAUGUGCCCUUCUUCUCAUGAGCUUUUCUCAGCUGAGUCAGUUAUUUGUACUCAUAAGAGAGACUAAGAGGGAUACCAGCACAAAGGUUUAUAUAACAAAUGACAAGCACACUGCUUUAAAUUUAUUUCCAAAUAAACUAAUUAAACAUUGUCUUAUUUAAAAUUACAUGUAUUUACAGUCAGUUUAAGAACUUGCAUUAAUCUUAUAUUCACAGCCACUUGAUGGCAGUGUUUCAACAUGUUUGUUUGUGUAAACCCCAAACAAUAAGCAGUUAUUUGCUCUGUGUUGUAAAUUAUCUGAAAAGCCUUCUGCAGUCAUGAAAUAAUAGCAUUCCUUAAUAAAGCUGAACAAUGGCGGUGCCUAAAACAUCA